UACCUUGUUACGACUUCACCCCAAUCACCGGCCAUACCUUCGAUGGCUGCCCCCCUUGCGGGUUAGCUCACCAACUUCGGGUACAACAGACUUUCGUGGUGUGACGGGCGGUGUGUACAAGGCCCGGGAACGUAUUCACCGCGGCGUAGUGAUCCGCGAUUACUAGCGAUUCCACGUUCACGGAGUCGAGUUGCAGACUCCGAUCCCAACUGAGACUACUUCUAGGGAUUGGCUCCACCUCACAGCUUCGCUCCCCUCUGUAGUAGCCAUUGUAGCACGUGUGCAGCCCUGGACAUAAGGGCCACGAUGACUUGACGUCAUCCCCACCUUCCUCCAGCUUGUCGCUGGCAGUUUCCUCAGAGAGCCCUCUCAGGCAACAGAGAAUAAGGGUUGCGCUCGUUGCGGGACUUAACCCAACACCUCACGGCACGAGCUGACGACAGCCAUGCAGCACCGUGUGUUAGCUCCUUAAGUUUCCCUAAGGGUAUCACCCUUUUAGGGCUCUUACCAACUAACACUGUAAGCCCAGGUAAGGUUCUUCGGGUUGGGUGGAAUUAACCACACUGCUCCCCCGCUUGUGCGGCCCC
rnacentral:rRNA from 1 species